UAACCAGCAGGCUCAUAUAAAAGGAGCUGCAGGGCCAGAGUGAGGUCAGACUGCUUGCAGAGACUGGGGACGCAAGAGGUUCUCCUGGCUGGUUGCAGGAGUUGAAAGCGUGGACAGAGCAGCUGCUAGCAGGAGCUGGCUGCAGGAGCUGCAAGGGACUAAGCAGGUAGUUGCUGGAAGUGACUCAGUGGAGAGCUGUGGUUAGUGAACUGAGUCCAAGAUGGAUGGCUCAGUAGGAAGGCUGCAGUAAGUGAGGACUCAAAGGCAAGGAGUCCCCAGGGAAGAAGCCCUCAGUGCACUGCUCAGUUCCAGAGUUGGAGACUUGGAACCUAGCCAGACCAAGCAAGGGUACUGUAAUGGGCCCUGUUGGACUGGUUAAAGACUGAACCCGGUAAGGUGUGCAGAAUAUAUUCUAUUGUGCACCCUGGAAGAUUUUUUGUUUCACAUGUGAACAGUGUGUGACUUAGCCAGAGGGCUGAGUUACAGAAGCCCAGACUGACAAGGCUGACUGCGCACUUGGGAGAGUCCAAGGCCAUGGUUACACUUACCAGGGACUGACGCUGCUGCGAUCAAUGCAGCGGGGGUUGAUUUAGUGGAUCUAGUGAAGAACUGCUAAAUCGACAACCGAGCUCUCACUCCUCUCGUUCCAGUGGAGUACUGGAAUUGAGCAGAAAGGUAAGCAGCUGCUGAAAUUGCCAUGAAGAUGUUAAAGGGAAAGAAAUGUGAGCUGUGUGGUCACAAAUGGAACUUGACCUGGGUCUUGGUAUUGAGAUGUGGGUUAUACUUUGAAAAUCCCCAGAGUAUGGUACUCAUUUUGUGUCCUAAAAUAUUGUGCAGUUUUACUGUGUGCUAUAACAUAGCUAUUGUGUUACAUCCCAAAGCAUUUACUGUGUAUGUAAAGUGACUGAUGGGUAUGCAUAUAAGUACAGUAUGCCCAUCUUUGUGAAUGUGUCAGAUGCUUCUGUAUAAAAGGUGCACUGUGACUGUAAAAUAUUCUACGAUAUGUGUUCUAUGAAUAUUUGUUGGGGGGGUAGUUUGUGACUAACUGGAAGUCUGUCUUGCUCUGUUUUACUGCUGCUUUGUCAGAACAUCAAAUCCUAAUGGAUUCUUCAGAAAGGAACUUCCAGCUUUGCUUCAGAAUUCCUGUGACCUUGAGCAAUCACUUAUUGCCUUGUGCCUCCGUUCCCUCCCACCCCUCUAAAAUAACACUAAUAAUGCUAUUCCCUUGCCAUUUAAACAGGUAAGGUAUACAAUCUGUAAGCUAUUUGGGGCAGGAACUCUCUUAUUCUAUGUAUGAGCCUCAUCUAACAUAGUGGCUCUCAAUAUUGGGUGGGAUCUCUAGGAGCCACUGACACGUGGUAAUUUUUUUAAAAAUUAAAUGUUAUGAAGGGGCACUUCUCAAAUCAGAAUAACAAUAAUGAUUUGCUAGUCUUUCUCCUUAAUGCAGGAAUCAUAUGCUUGCAUCAAAUAGCAUAUUAUCCUUAAAGGUCACUUUUACAUGAAUCUGGGUGCUGUCUCUUGAAACUUAGUCUGUUGAGCCUGUGGAGUGCAAGGAAAACUCCCCUAAUUGGGCAGACACACCAUAGAUCAGUUAUAUGGUAUUUGUUCUCUGAUGUUAUCACUCAUUGAUUCAUGACUGUAUUCUACAAUGUGAUGCUCCUAGAAAGAACCCUGCAUCCACAUGAAGGUCACAUUCAUCGAUUUGCUGGAUUAGGGCCAUCAUUUUCUAUUGUCAGUAGUGAACAUUAGAAUGGGACUGUGU